UGGUCAAGUUAUUAAGGGUGCAGGGCGGAUGCCUUGGCACUAGGAGCCGAUGAAGGACGUGAUAAGCUGCGAUAAGCUUCGGGGAGUUGCACGUAAACUUUGAUCCGAAGAUUUCCGAAUGAGGAAACUCACUUAGAGUAAUGUCUAAGUAUCAUUAAGUGAAUACAUAGCUUAAUGAGGGGAACUCAGGGAACUGAAACAUCUAAGUACCUGAAGGAAGAGAAAGAAAUUCGAUUCCGUAAGUAGCGGCGAGC
rnacentral:rRNA from 1 species